AUACGGAGGGGGCUAGCGUUGUUCGGAAUUACUGGGCGUAAAGCGCGCGUAGGCGGCUUAUCAAGUUAGGCGUGAAAGGCCUGGGCUCAACCCGGGAACUGCGCUUAAUACUGGUAGACUUGAGUCCGGGAGAGGGUGGCGGAAUUCCCAGUGUAGAGGUGAGAUUCGUAGAUAUUGGGAAGAACCCCAGUGGCGAAGGCGGCCACCUGGCCCGGUACUGACGCUGAGGUGCGAAAGCGUGGGGAGCAAACAGGAUUAGAAACCCCAGUAGUCC
rnacentral:rRNA from 1 species